GCUACCUCAUCCCUGAACUCCCAGCUCCAGCAGCUCCAGCUCCAGCUCCAGCAGCAGCAGCAGCAGCAGCAGCAGCCUCCCCCGUCAACCAACCAGCACCCGCAGCCAGCCCCACAGGCGCCCUCGCAGUCCCAGCAGCAGCCGCUGCAGCCCACCCCACCCCAGCAGCCACCACCCGCCUCUCAGCAGCCGCCAGCUCCUACAUCUCAGCUGCAACAGGCGCCUCAGCCCCAGCAGCACCAACCCCACUCCCACUCCCAGAACCAGAACCAACCAUCUCCAACCCAGCAGAGCUCCAGCCCCCCGCAGAAACCCAGUCAGUCUCCAGGACAUGGCCUGCCUUCACCGCUCACGCCACCCAAUCCUCUACAGAUUAUCGGGACCAUUCCACUGAUGCCUAAUCCGGGGCCAUCGAGCCAAGCAGCAAGCGGCACUCAGGGCUUGCAAGUGCAACCAAUCACCCC
rnacentral:lncRNA from 1 species